rnacentral:rRNA from 1 species
AUUGAACGCUGGCGGCAUGCCUUACACAUGCAAGUCGAACGGCAGCAUGAUCUAGCUUGCUAGAUUGAUGGCGAGUGGCGAACGGGUGAGUAAUACAUCGGAACGUGCCCUGUAGUGGGGGAUAACUAGUCGAAAGACUGGCUAAUACCGCAUACGACCUACGGGUGAAAGCGGGGGACCGCAAGGCCCCGCCCUAUUGGAGCGGCCGAUGUCUGAUUAGCUAGUUGGCGGGGUAAGAGCCCACCAAGGCGACGAUCAGUAGCUGGUCUGAGAGGACGACCAGCCACACUGGGACUGAGACACGGCCCAGACUCCUACGGGAGGCAGCAGUGGGGAAUUUUGGACAAUGGGCGCAAGCCUGAUCCAGCCAUGCCGCGUGCGGGAAGAAGGCCUUCGGGUUGUAAACCGCUUUUGGCAGGAACGAAACGGCGCGAGCCAAUACCUCGCGCUAAUGACGGUACCUGCAGAAUAAGCACCGGCUAACUACGUGCCAGCCGCCGCGGUAACAC